UUCUUUGUCUUUAACUUAAAUACUGAAGGAAUUUUACGUAAACAAGAAAUCAUUCCUCUUAUAAAUGAUGAACUCAUAAGGAAACUUGUGGAGAUUGAGAAGAAACUUGAAGAUCACCAUCCCAAAGGGUCAGGAAAUUGGGAAUCACAUGGUAUAAAUGAUGAAAUAGACAUUAGGCUAAAGAGCAGUUCUCUGGUUGACGAGUCUAUUACUUUGGGGAGAAAAAAAGAGCAAGAUGAAAUUAAAAAAAGGUUGUUGUCAAAUCCAGAUGAUGAAAAUCAAAAACAGGUUUCUGUUAUUGCCAUUGUUGGAUUAGGAGGUGUAGGCAAGACAACUCUGGCCCAGCUUGUCUAUAAUGAUCCUAAUGUAGAGAAACAUUUUGAAAGAAGAGCUUGGGUUUGUGUGUCUACUAAUUUUAAUCUUGUGAGAUUGACCUCUGCAAUUCUAGAGUCCUUGACUGGGAGAAAUCCUAACUUGAGCAACCUAGAACCACUUCAACAUAAGUUGGUAAAGGAAUUAAGGGGGUAGCGAUUUUUAAUCGUCUUGGAUGAUGUUUGGACUGAAAAGGAAAACGAUUGGAGAGCUCUAAGAGUUGCAUUCAUGGAGGCAGGGGAAGGAAGUAAAAUAAUUGUAACAAGUCGAAGUUGUAUAGUUUCUUCAAUGGUGCACCCCAUAUUUACCCUUGAUCUACAAAUUUUAUCUGAUGAAGAGUGUUGGUUAAUAAUGGAAAGGCGCAUAUCUAUGGAUGAUGGUGCUAUUGCUCCCAAUCUGAAAGAAGUGGGUAGGAACAUUGCGAAGAAGUGCAAAGGAUUGCCCUUGGCAGCAAGUACGCUUGCAGGCCUUUUACGCUCUAAUUCAGAUUUAAACCAUUGGGAAGAAGUGUUGAAUAGUUCCAUGUGGGACUUAGAAGAGAGAAAUUUGCCAGUUGCUCUGAGUCUAAGCUACUACUUUCUUCCCACGUAUUUGAAGCAGUGUUUUGCUUAUUGUUCUAUAUUUCCUAAAGGUUAUAUAUUCCGUAAGAGACAUCUCAUCGGACUUUGGAAAGCAGAAGGAUUUAUUAGAUCGAACACUACAAGAAUGGAAGACAAAGGUGGCCAAUAUUUUUGUGAUUUGCUGCAUAGGUCUUUCUUUCAGCGCGACAAUGAAGCUAAGGGUGGAUUUGUAAUGCACGACCUUGUACAUGAUUUAGCACAAGCAGUUUCAGGAGAGGUGUAUGGUAGAUUUAAUUGCACGAAAUCGAGCUGUAUCUCCACAGAGACCCGUUAUUCGUCCAUGUGUGCAAGAAGCAUAAACAAGGAAACAUAUCAAAGGAGGUUAUCCACAUUGGUGUGCCCAGAUGAUAAAAAGCAUUGUUUAUGUAGGGAUUACUUCAUUGAAUCUUUUGGAGGACUGAGAUACUUACGUGUGUUAGAUUUGUUGGGCUGUGAAAUUAAGAUACUUCCCGACGAUAUUGGCAAUUUGAAAUGCCUACACUACAUUAACCUCUCUUAUAAUGGUAACAUACAACAAUUACCUGAGUCGUUAUGCGAUCUUUUCAAUCUACAAUCACUGUUACUCCGUUGUACCAGAAUAUGUGAGUUACCUAAAGGCAUGAAGUAUCUACGCAAUCUCCAGCAUCUAGAUCUUUAUGGGUGCAAUUCCUUAUGUUUCAUGCCGCAUGGAAUUGGGAGAUUAAGAAGUCUCAAGACAUUGUCAAAGUUUCCUGUCUGAAAUGAUGAUGAUGGUUGUAGGAUAAAAGAGCUGAAGGAGCUGAGGCAGCUUGAGGGCGCACUUUCUAUCUGCUUACUGCAGAAUGUUAUUGAUCCUCUGGAUGCUCGGGAAGCAGAUUUGAUGAAUAAGCCAAAAGUUGAUCAGUUAAAUUUUAGGUGGGAUUAUAGUGGUGAUAAUGAUGUUGAGGUUUUUGAAAGUUUACGACCUCACACUGAGCUGAAGAGUUCAUGUAUCUUCAAUUACAGUGGGUUAACAUUUCCAAGAUGGUUGAUGAUGGACUUGCCAAGCUACAACAAGCUAGCCUCUUUGACACUCACCUUCUGCCGGGAAUGCCAAGUCCUCCCUCCGAUUGGGGAGCUACCCCUAUUGGAAUCUCUGCACUUAACAUACCUGAAUAAGUUGGAAGAGUGGUCUAACUCUAGAGGGAAGGAAACUGAAUUCCCUAGCCUCCUAAAUCUAACCAUUAAAGACUGUCCCAAACUGAGGAUAUUACCACAGCCACUUCUGUCAAGUCCGAGACUAUGUGAAUUGCGUUUCGAUGCCUGUCCAAGUCUCAGGAUGUUGCCUCAUGCAGGAUUAAGCAGACUUACCUCACUCAAAAAUCUUCAUCUUGGGUAUGAGAUGGAAGCAUUGAUUCAGUUUCUGGAUGAGACUGAGACUCUACCUCCAAAUAUUAAUCGCCUUUAUAUAUAUGAUUGUACAUCACUACCCAAGGGGUUGAGAAACCUGCCUUCGCUCAAACAUCUGAAAUUUAGUCCAGAUUUUAAAGCCCAAUACAGCCCCGAGGAGCUCCCCACAAAUGUUACUGUUACUAAAGGUUGGUGACGCCCACUUCGCCAAAAUUUCUGCCCAUACAAUGCAGGUUUAUCAGCUCAAAAAGAAGGUUGGACAGUCAAGUGUAGAUACCAUUACUCCAGAUGAUUCACUUCCUCUAUUGCCCCCUUCCUCUGGUGAAGCUCCUCCUCCUUCUCCGCCUGAUGACUUACCAAUUGCUUAAUGAAAAGGAGGCUGAUUCAAAAUCACAAAACCAGGUUCAAGAAGCUUAAUGGUCUUCAAUUUGCUGCUACUGCUGCUGCAAUAUGUUGGAAAUGUGUUCGAUGUGCCGAUGUGAAUAACAAUCAUGCAAUUGGUGCAGGAUUUUGGAUUUGGUCAAUUGAAUUUGAUUUCAGUUUUUUACUUGAGAAUUUGCUGCAACAUGAAUUGAUGCUUUUACUAUAAUUAGAAAUGGUAUCUAUUCUUAUC